rnacentral:misc_RNA from 1 species
GAUGAAGAACGUAGCGAAAUGCGAUAAGUAAUGUGAAUUACAGAAUUCAGUGAAUCAUCGAAUCUUUGAACGCACAUUGCGCCCGCCAGUAUUCUGGCGGGCAUGCCUGUUCGAGCGUCAUUACAACCCUCAGGCCCCCGGGCCUGGCGUUGGGGAUCGGCGGAAGCCCCCUGCGGGCACAACGCCGUCCCCCAAAUACAGUGGCGGUCCCGCCGCAGCUUCCAUUGCGUAGUAGCUAACACCCCGCAACUGGAGAGCGGCGCGGCCACGCCGUAAAACACCCAACUUCUGAAUGUUGACCUCGAAUCAGGUAGGAAUACCCGCUGAACUUAAGCAUAUCAAUAAGCGGAGGA